AUUUUCUGAGCUCUGAUUUGCUGCAUUGUGCUCACCAAUAAACACUGUGCCUUACAUAAAGUGUAUGUUUAUGAUUUAUAAAUGGCUUUAACCUCUGUGUAUACUAUCUCUGAAUAUGAAUUUCUUCUGAUGAAAUGGAAAUAACAAUAACUAACUCAUAGUUUGUGUUGUGAUCAAAUGGAUCAGAACAUACAGUCUUUUUAUGGGGAGGGGGGCUAGGCAGCACACAUUCAUCCCUUAUUUGUGUAGGUACCAUUCUGUAUUACCUUAUAUUCUUGAAGGGGAAAAUUAGUACAGUAUUACUGAAUUGGUGGGUGUUUAAAAGAAAAUGAAUAGACUCUGCAACACCAUGCUUGUUCUUAGUUAAGUUACUUUAUUUAAGUAGCGAGUGACAUUGUCCAAAGAAUUGAUAUAAACAUAAUGGCUUUAUAAGUUGUUGUGAGCAUUAUUAAUUGGCAUUAUCUAGCACACUGCUAAGGCAGGCUGCUUUGAAAUUUUCCUAAAUUUCAGCCAAAGAUUUUGAGAUACAAAAGGAAAUCCAUCUGCAUAUCCAGAAUGUAGCAAAUACCACAAGAUUAAGAAAGCUUUAGGACAAUAUAAGUUUAGAGAGUGGAUAUGAUGGUUUAAUAUGGGCUCAACAUUAACCAUGGUUAACAUUUAGUUUGAAAUUUUGAAUACAAUCUGCAUAAUAACCAUCUACAAAAGUUUUUUCUGGACAGAACGAGUUUAUUAAAGCAAGUAGUGUAGUUUGGAAACUGUACAUAGACAACAUCCAGUAGUCAGAGAAAUUCACAUGUGUUUCGGUUACUUUUUGUAACACUCUGUUGCUGAAGUUCCUGUCGUUGGCUUCAAAAAUGUAUGAAUAUCAUGCAUACCCUCAAAACUAGAGCAUGCUGUACCUCUCUUUUCAAGUCCUAUAGUUGCUAUCACAAAAUUGUUAAUAAUGUGAUAUUAGCAUUUCUGUUUUUAAAAUAAAUACAGAUGGUAACAUAAGCCCCUGUUCAGUUAUUUUCUGAGACUGCCACAAACAUCAUAUUCCAUUUCGAUUCUAAAAACCCAGAGCUCUUCUCUCUUCCUUAUAUAUCUGAUUUAAAUCAGUUAUGAGUGAUUAACUUUUCUUUGAAAAUAUCUCUGAAAUGCAAACAUUCCUAUUUAGUAGCAUUAUUAGCAGUGUAAUUCAUCUCAUGAUUGGUACAAUUAUGUUCUCUCUGUCUUCAUGUUACCCUUCACUCUGUAGCAUAAAUCUUACCAUAUAACUCUAUAGAAAAUGUAUAUGGGUUCGUAAAACAAAACAAAACAAAACAAAAAGAACAAAUACUGAACUGAGUAAGCAAGGGUGCCUAUGAUUACUCAUUCUAUCUUUGGGAUUUCCCAUACCACAGUCUUCAACACUGCUUUCCUGCUUCCAGUGCUCCCCCUCACUUCCUUUGCCUAUGACUGCUUCUUUCUGUUUUAAUCUCGUGUUACCUCAUUGUUCUUUCACAUUUUAAUUCAGGCUCACUUUCCUUAAGGUGUCAAUCUAUAAAUGUUUCCAGGUUUCUGUUUUAGUUAGGGUUUUUAUUGUUGUGAAGAGUCACCAUAACCAUAACAAUUUGCAUAAAGGAAAACAUAUAAUUGGGGCUUUCUUUCAGUUUCAGUGGUUUAGUCUAUUAUUAUCGCAAAGGAGCUGAGAAUUCUAUAUCUGGAUCGAAAUACAGCAGGAAGAGAAUGACAAAUCAGGUGUAGCUCAAACAUCUGAAACCACAAAGCCCACACCCAGUGACACACCUACUUCAACAAGGCCACACUUCCUAACAGUGCCACUCUUUAUGGGACUAUGGAGGCCAAUUUUAUUCAAACUUCCACAACUUCAUCCAUGAUAAAGGCAAAUUACUUUAGAACAUGCAUCAAAUUGCUAAUUAUAUGUAUGAUCCUUUUAUUAAUAUUGAUCUCAGCUUACUAGAAUAUAGUAAGUUAUGUUGUUUCUGGAUGUUCUCACAGUGAAUAUUAUAAUGAAUGCUUAAUAAACAGUUAUUGAAUAAAUGAAUGUAUUUUUAUCCUGUUUUUGUCAAUGAAACCAAGUAAUAUACACACCUGCUAUGACAUAAUAUCUAGAAUGGUUAAAAGAAAGAGAUUAAGAUCACAUAAUAUUUUAGCACCUUUUUACUUUCUCUUGAUUUUAAGGAUUCUUCACAACCCACAAAUAUGUUGCCUGAGAGAUUGCUGAAGCUAUUUGCCAUUUUAUGCAGGUGUGUGUCCUAAAAAUGUUUUUAAUUUAGCUUUUAUACAUAUUUAUUGUGCACGUAUGUAUAUGAAUGUGUUUUGUUUGUAUUGGGGUGAUAUACCAAUUGGAAAGAAAUAUAAAGUGAUUUAUUUUUGUCUUAAGAUUAAGUAUGUCUUAUUACAGUCCUCAUUUGAAGAGAGAUUUUUAGAGUUCAUUACCUCAGUCCACUUCAUGGAUAUAUAACAUAUAAAGGCAACUUUAAGACAUUCACACACACACACACACACACACACACACACACACACACACACACACUAAGUUCUAAGAACUCAGCAGUGAAAGAGACUACAGCAAUAAUAUUUACAAAUGCAUUUUUUACUUUUGAAGCCAGGUCAUUUCUCUGAGGCCUUAGCAUUGACAUAGGCUAGGAAUGGACUAAUCAGUCUACAAAGAUUUUCAAUCAUUCAUAGAUAAAGUAUGUUCACCAAUAACAAUUAUAUGCAUUUUAUAGUAUCAGCUGAAACAUUGUAAACUAAGUCAUAUAGUGCCAGGUAAAAUGGAUUUUUCAUUCUAAUUAUUCAUUUUCCUUUCUUUACCUGUCAGUUUUUUUUCAUUUCUAAAUACUGGAGGAGAAAUACAAUAUCUUACAAUAUGAUAAUGAUAAAUACAUAUCAAUUGUGAGAGGUAAUUCAUUACUAAAGGCUAAGUAUAUAGUAUUUUUGUAAGAGAUUACUAAAGAUGAUUGUUGUGGGAAUUUUAAGGUUUAUCACAGGCUCAAACUUUGAUAUUGCUCCCUAAUUAGUGGCACAGUUUGGGGAUGGGAGAUAGCCAUACCUGAUAGUAAUAGAACUGUCUGGGCAAGUUGUUUCUGUUCCCAGUUCCUGCUCACUUGUUAAUUGUUAUUAAAGGGAUCUACUGCCACAAACUCAUUAGACCAUGCUGAUCCACUAUGCUAUUCUUUCCACAGUGGCCAGAAACCUUGUAAAACCAUUAUGCAAAACUAUUCCUUUAUCAUUAAGAUCUCAUUGUCACUAUUCUGGCCAUGACAAUACAAACUUAAAUAAUCCAACCCUGAAUUUAGAAUUUAAAAUAUGAAUACUAGACCUAGCCAUUAUAACAAUUUUUAAAUAUUUCUGUAUAUUGGAUGUCAUAUAUAAUAAAUAAACCAAUUGUCUAUAACUGUAGGUCCUGAAAGUUUCUACAUAGAUUUCAGAUACAGCACAGUAAUGUUAAAGGACAGUAAUUAGGUGUUUCUUUUAAGACCUGUGAAACUAGAAUAGGAAUACUUUUCACAUCUUAAUGUUUGGCAGAAAGCAGUGCCUCAGCUCAUGGUCAAAGCAUCCAUUUGAGGAAAAUAUUUACUACAUGGUUAUGAGUCUACGAAACUGAUACGGCCCUGAAGAUAACAUUUACUAUUUGCAAGAGAGACCACAUAUCAGCCAAGUAGUUGUGAAAAUGCAAUCUAUCUUUUUUUCUUUUUAUAGUUAUUUAUUUAUUUAUUUAUUUUAAGGGAUCAUUAUCUUUUUUUUAAAAAAAGGAUAUUUUCUUUAUUUACAUUUCAAAUGUUAUCCCCUUUACUAGUUUCGCCUCCAACCCCACCCCCCAUCCCUUUCCAACUUCCCCUGCUCACCAACCCUCGCACUCCCACUUCCUGGUCCUGGUGUUCCCCUAAACUGGGGUAUCAAGCCUUGACAGAACCAAGAGCCUCUCCUUCCAUUGAUGACCAACAAGGCCAUACUCUACUACAUAUGUGGCUGGAGAGAUGGGUCCCACUGUGUACUCUUUGGUUGGUAGUUUAGUCCCUCGGAGCAUUGGAGUUACUGGUUGGUUCAUAUUGUUCCUUCUACGAAGUUGAAAACGUGUUCAGCUCCUUGAGUCCUUUCUCUAGCUCCUCCAUUGAGGACUCUGUGAUCAGUACAAUGGAUGUCUGUGAGCAUCCACUUCUGUAUUUGUCAGGCACUGGCAGAGCUUCUCAGGAGACAGCUACAUCAGGCUUCUGUCAGCAAGCACUUGUUGGCAUCCACACUAGUGUCUGGGUUUGGUGACUGUAUACGGGACAGAUUCUCAGGUGGGGCAUUCUCUGAUGGCCUUUCCAUCUGUCCCUACUCCACAACUUUUCUCUGGAUCCCCACCCAUGAGUAUUUUGUUCCCCCUUCUAAGAAGCACCAAAGUAUCUUCACUUUGGACUUCUUCCUACUUGAGCUUCAUGUGGUCUGUGAAUUGUAUCUUGGGUAUUCUGAGCUUCUGGGCUUAUCUCUACUUAUCAGUGAGUGCAUACCAUGUGAGUUCUUUUGUGAUUGGGUUUUCUCACUCAGGAAGAUAUUCUCCAGAACCAUCCAUUUGCUUAAGAAUUUCAUAAUUUAUUGUUUUUAAUAGCUGAGUAGUACUACAUUGUGCAAAUAUACUACAUUUUCUGUAUCCAUUCCUCUGUUGAGUGACAUUUGGGUUCUUUCCAGUUUCUGGCUAUUAUAAAUAAGGGUGCUAUGAACAUAGUGGAACAUGUGUCCUUAUUACAUGUUGGAGCAUCUUCUGGGUAUAUGCUCAGGAGUGGCAUUGCUGGGUCCUCAGGUAGUACUGUCUGUUGCUGGUGGGAUUGCAGGCUGGUACAACUACUCUGGAAAUCAGUUUAACAGUUCCUCAGACAACUGGACAUAUUUAUUUAUUUUUUAUGCUUCAGAUUUUAUUCCUCUCCCAGUCCACCCUCUGACUGUUCUACAUCCCAUACCUCCUCCCUACCUUCUGUUCCAUGAAAUGUCCUCAUCCCCCUCUACCCCACCAUAUUUCUAAACUCCCUGGGGCCUCCAGUCUCUUAAGGGUUAGGUGCAUCUUCUCUGACUGAACGCAGAUCCUGUAUUUGUGUCAGGGGCCUAAUAUCAGCUGGUAUUUUCUGCUUGGGUAGUGGUCAAGUUUUUGAGAGAUCCCAAGAUUCCAGGUUAAUUGAGACUGCUGGUCUUCCUACAGGGUUUCCCUCCUCCUCAGCUUCUUCCAGCUUUCCCCUAAUUCAAGUACAGGGGUCAACAGCUUCUGUCCAUUGGUUGGAUGCGAAUAUCUACAUCUGACUCUUUCAGCUGUUUAUUAGGUCUUUCAGAGGUCACACUUGUAAGUGCUCCAUAGCCUCAGAAAUACUGUCAGGCUUUGGAACCUCCCAUUGAGCUGGAUCCCACUCUGGGCCUGUUUUUGGACCUUCUUUUCCUCAGAUUCCUCUCCAUUUCCUUCUAUGCAGUUCUUUGAGACAGGAACAAUUAUGAGUCAGAGUUUUGACUGUUGGAUGGCAACCUCUCCCUCACUUGAUGCCCUGUCUUUCUGCGGGAGGUGGGCUCUAUAAGUUCCAUCUCGCUACUUUUGGGCAUUUCCUCUAAAGUUUCCCUCUUUGAGUCUUGAGAGUCUCUCAUCUCCCAGGACUCUGGUGCUUUCUGGAGGGUUCUCCCAAAUUCCUACAACCCGAGGUUGCCUGUUUCCAUUAUUUCUGCUAGCCCACACAGCUUUAGUCUUUUUCUCUCAGCCAGUACCAGAUCAGGUUCCCCUCUCCCUGCCAACCCCCUAUCCACUUUCCCCUCCAGGUUCCGCUCCCCCAAUUGUGAUUGCUUUCUUCUCUCUCCAAACUGGGUCUGAGGCAUCCUCACUUUGACCCUUCAGUUUGUUGACCUUUCUGAGUUCUGUGAACUGUAUCUUGGGUAUUCUGGAUAAUACACUUAUUAGUGAGUACAUACCAUGCAUACCAUGCAUGUCCUUUUGAGUCUGAGUUACCCCACUCAGUAUGACAAUUUUCAGAUCCAUCCAUUUGCCUGCAAAACUCAUGAUAUCCUCUUUCUUAAUAGCUGAAUACUAUUGUUGAGGUCCUUGAUCCACUUGGACUUGAGCUUUGUGCCAGGUGACAAAUAUGGGCCUAUUUUCAUUUUUCUACAUACUGAUAGCCAGUUAGACAAGCACCAUUUAUUGAAGAUGCUUUGUUUUUUCCAUUGUAUAUUUUUGGCUUCUUUGUCAGAGAUCAAGUGUCUUUAAGUGUAUGGCCUUAUUUCUGGGUCUUUAAUUCUAUUCCAUUGAUCAACAUGUUUCUCUCUGUACCAAUACCAUGCAGGGUUUUUUUUUUUUUUUUUUUUUUUUCACUAUUGAUCUGUAAAGUUGAGGUCAGGGAUGGUUAUUUCCCCAGCCUUUCUUUUGUUGUUUUUUAAGAAUUGUCUUCUCUAUUCUGAUUUUUUGUUUGUUUGUUUGUUUGUUUGCCUUUCCAAAUGACUUUGAAGAAUUGUGUUGGAAUUUUGAUGGGGAUUGCAUUGAAUAUAUAGAUUUCCUUCAGUAGGAUGGCCAUUUUUACUAUAUUAAUUCUGCCAAUCCAUGAACAUGGGAGAAGUCUCCAUUUUCUGAGAUCUCUGGUUUCUUUCUUGAGAGAUUUGGAGUUAUUGUCAUACAGGUCUUUCACUUGUUUUCUUAGAGUUACCCCAACAUAUUUUAUAUUAUUUUUGGCUAUUGUGAAAAGAGUUUUUUCCCUUAUUUCUUUCUCAGCCCAUUUAUCAUUUGUAUACAGGAAGAAUAUUGACUUUUUUGAGUUAAUUUUAGUGGGAUUUCAUCAUGUAUCUCUCCAUUUAAUUGGAUAUUGGCUGUUGGUUGCAGUGAAAACUUAGUCUUUUCAUAUAAUUCAUAAUUAAGAUAUUUUUCAAGUGUUAGAAAAUGUUAAAUAAAUGUUUAUAAUGCUUUCCUUAACAUAAUUUUAUUUUCAAUGAUUAACUCU
rnacentral:lncRNA from 1 species